GUCUAUAGCCAUACCACCCUGAACGCGCCCGAUCUCGUCUGAUCUCGGAAGCUAAGCAGGGUCAGGCCUGGUUAGUACUUGGAUGGGAGAUAUGAAAUUAUUAGGAUGCUUUACAAA
rnacentral:rRNA from 1 species